rnacentral:rRNA from 1 species
GACGAACGCUGGCGGCGUGCCUAACACAUGCAAGUCGAGCGAUGAAAUCCCUUCGGGGAUGGAUUAGCGGCGGACGGGUGAGUAACACGUGGGUAACCUGCCUCAGAGUGGGGGAUAGCCUUCCGAAAGGAAGAUUAAUACCGCAUAAUAUUAGAUUUUCGCAUGAAGAACUAAUUAAAGGAGCAAUCCGCUUUGAGAUGGACCCGCGGCGCAUUAGCUAGUUGGUGAGGUAAUAGCUCACCAAGGCGACGAUGCGUAGCCGACCUGAGAGGGUGAUCGGCCACAUUGGAACUGAGACACGGUCCAGACUCCUACGGGAGGCAGCAGUGGGGAAUAUUGAACAAUGGGGGAAACCCUGAUGCAGCAACGCCGCGUGAGUGAUGAAGGUCUUCGGAUUGUAAAGCUCUGUCUUUUGGGACGAUAAUGACGGUACCAAAGGAGGAAGCCACGGCUAACUACGUGCCAGCCGCCGCCGUAACAC